rnacentral:rRNA from 1 species
CCCUUAGAUGUUCUGGGCCGCACGCGCGCUACACUGAUGCAUUCAACGAGUCUAAAACCUGCUCUGAUAGGGGUGGGUAAUCUUUUGAAUGUGCAUCGUGAUUGGGAUAGAUGUUUGCAAUUAUUCAUCUUCAACGAGGAUUGCCUUGUAAGCGCACGUCAUCAGCGUGCAUUGAAUACGACCCUGUAUUCUGUACACACCGCCCGUCGCUCCUACCGAUUGAAGUUUUCGGUGAGUUGACAGGAGGAUUUUUUUGAAACUGGUUCGCCAGUGGAUUUUAGAUCCAAAUGCCAACGAAUCGAUGGCUUUAGAGGAAGGAGAAGUCGUAACA